rnacentral:rRNA from 1 species
GAUGAACGCUGACAGAAUGCUUAACACAUGCAAGUCUACUUGAUUCUACUUCGGUAGUUGAUGGUGGCGGACGGGUGAGUAACGCGUAAAGAAUCUGCCCUUUAGUUUGGGAUAACCUUUGGAAACGAAGGCUAAUACCGGAUAUUAUGGAGACGUCGCAUGACGACUCAAUGAAAGCUAUAUGCGCUAGAGGUAGGACUUUGCGUCCCAUUAGUUAGUUGGUGAGGUAAUGGCUCACCAAGACCGCGAUGGGUAGCCGGCCUGAGCGGGUGAUCGGCCACAAGGGAACUGAGACACGGUCCUUACGCCUACGGGAGGCAGCAGUGGGGAAUAUUGGACAAUGGGCCACAAGCCUGAUCCAGCAAUUCUGUGUGCACGAUGAAGGUCUUCGGAUUGUAAAGUGCUUUCAGUAGGGAAGAAAAAAAUGACGGUACCUACAGAAGAAGCGACGGCUAAAUAUGUGCCAGCCGCCGCGGUAAGAC